UCAGAUUUCCCAGGGAUACCAUUUCUUGUUGUCAUUGUUGGAUUUACUCUUAUCAAUUGUGCAGGUGGGGAGGUAUAGAAUUCCCUCUACCUUUUGGAAGAGUACUCAGCCCUACAGAAAGUUUCAUCCAUGAACUAGAUGAGAAGGGAGUUUUCCGUAGCGCCGACAUGUGAACGAUUUAUAUAGGGACGUCCCUACUACUGCUUUAACACUUCUGGACUAUCUACUUGCGGUGUUUGUCAAUUGAGAUAAUCUUGGGAAAGAGUGACAAAUUCGACGAGUUGAUGGUUGCUGCCACCGA